rnacentral:rRNA from 1 species
AAUAGAUACCCCGGUAGUCCACGCCGUAAACGAUGUCGACUUGGAGGUUGUUCCCUUGAGGAGUGGCUUCCGGAGCUAACGCGUUAAGUCGACCGCCUGGGGAGUACGGCCGCAAGGUUAAAACUCAAAUGAAUUGACGGGGGCCCGCACAAGCGGGUGGAGCAUGUGGCUUAAUUCGAUGCAACGCGAAGAACCUUACCUACUCUUGACAUCCAGAGAACUUAGCAGAGAUGCUUUGGUGCCUUCGGGAACUCUGAGACAGGUGCUGCAUGGCUGUCGUCAGCUCGUGUUGUGAAUGUUGGGUUAAGUCCGCAACGAGCGCAACCCUUAUCCUUUGUUGCCAGCGGCUCGGCCGGGAACUCAAAGGAGACUGCCAGUGAUAAACUGGAGGAAGGGUGGGGAUGGACGUCAAGUCAUCAUGGCCCUUACGAGUAGGGCUACACACGUGCUACAAUGGCGUAUACAAAGAGAAGCGACCUCGCGAGAGCAAGCGGACCUCAUAAAGUACGUCGUAGUCCGGAUUGGAGUCUGCAACG